rnacentral:rRNA from 1 species
GUGAACGCUGGCGGUAGGCCUAACACAUGCAAGUCGAACGGCAGCACAGUAAGAGCUUGCUCUUACGGGUGGCGAGUGGCGGACGGGUGAGGAAUACAUCGGAAUCUACUUUUUCGUGGGGGAUAACGUAGGGAAACUUACGCUAAUACCGCAUACGACCUACGGGUGAAAGCAGAGGAUCUUCGGACCUUGCGCGAUUGAAUGAGCCGAUGUCGGAUUAGCUAGUUGGCGGGGUAAAGGCCCACCAAGGCGACGAUCCGUGGCUGGUCUGAGAGGAUGAUCAGCCACACUGGAACUGAGACACGGUCCAGACUCCUACGGGAGGCAGCAGUGGGGAAUAUUGGACAAUGGGCGCAAGCCUGAUCCAGCCAUACCGCGUGGGUGAAGAAGGCCUUCGGGUUGUAAAGCCCUUUUGUUAGGAAAGAAAAGCAGCAGGUUAAUACCCCGCUGUUCUGACGGUACCCAAAGAAUAAGCACCGGCUAACUUCGUG